CGAGCCACCAUAUAUUGUUGUGUCCAGCCUCCGCAAUUGGCCUCUCGUUCAAAUUCUCUGCACCAAUACAUUUCUCCUCGUUCUUCUCUCCUCUCUUCCCGAUUUCGGAGGCGAUUCGAACGCAGGAGUUUUUUUUCUAGUUAGUCGCAAUGGCAGAGCAAUACCAGCAUUCAACUAUUGUUAAGCAGGUAGCCAACCAGCUACAUCUGAGUUCAAGUAUCUGUCAAGAACAACCUCGCUAUGGUGGCUUCCAAAGCCCUGCUGUGUAUCAAAGGCGAUUUGCAUAUGG